rnacentral:rRNA from 1 species
AUUGAACGCUGGCGGCAGGCCUAACACAUGCAAGUCGAACGGUAACAGGAAGAAGCUUGCUUCUUUGCUGACGAGUGGCGGACGGGUGAGUCAUGUCUGGGAAACUGCCUGAUGGAGGGGGAUAACUACUGGAAACGGUAGCUAAUACCGCAUAACGUCGCAAGCCCAAAGAGGGGGACAUUCGGGCCUCUUGCCAUCGGAUGUGCCCAGAUGGGAUUCGCUAGUAGGUGGGGUAACGGCUCACCUAGGCGACGAUCCCUAGCUGGUCUGAGAGGAUGACCAGCCACACUGGAACUGAGACACGGUCCAGACUCCUACGGGAGGCAGCAGUGGGGAAUAUUGCACAAUGGGCGCAAGCCUGAUGCAGCCAUGCCGCGUGUAUGAAGAAGGCCUUCGGGUUGUAAAGUACUUUCAGCGGGGAGGAAGGGAGUAAAGUUAAUACCUUUGCUGAUUGACGGUACCCGCAGAAGAAGCACCGGCUAACUCCGUG